GAUGAAGAACGUAGCGAAAUGCGAUAAGUAAUGUGAAUUGCAGAAUUCAGUGAAUCAUCGAAUCUUUGAACGCACAUUGCGCCCGCCAGUAUUCUGGCGGGCAUGCCUGUUCGAGCGUCAUUACAACCCUCAGGCCCCCGGGCCUGGCGUUGGGGAUCGGCGGAAGCCCCCUGCGGGCACAACGCCGUCCCCCAAAUACAGUGGCGGUCCCGCCGCAGCUUCCAUUGCGUAGUAGCUAACACCUCGCAACUGGACAGCGGCGCGGCCACGCCGUAAAACACCCAACUUCUGAAUGUUGACCUCGAAUCAGGUAGGAAUACCCGCUGAACUUAAGCAUAUCAAUAAGCGGAGGA
rnacentral:misc_RNA from 1 species